AGAGUUUGAUCCUGGCUCAGGACGAACGCUGGCGGCGUGCUUAACACAUGCAAGUCGAGCGAGGCCCAUCUUCGGGUGGUGCCCUAGCGGCGAACGGGUGAGUAACACGUGGGCAACCUGCCCUCAGCUCUGGGAUAACUCCAAGAAAUUGGUGCUAAUACCGGAUGUGACCGCUGACCGCAUGGUCUGGUGGUGGAAAGAUUCAUCGGCUGAGGAUGGGCCCGCGGCCUAUCAGCUUGUUGGUGGGGUAAUGGCCCACCAAGGCGACGACGGGUAGCCGGCCUGAGAGGGUGACCGGCCACACUGGGACUGAGACACGGCCCAGACUCCUACGGGAGGCAGCAGUGGGGAAUAUUGCGCAAUGGGCGAAAGCCUGACGCAGCGACGCCGCGUGAGGGAUGACGGCCUUCGGGUUGUAAACCUCUUUCAGUAGGGACGAAGCGAAAGUGACGGUACCUACAGAAGAAGCACCGGCCAACUACGUGCCAGCAGCCGCGGUAAUACGUAGGGUGCAAGCGUUGUCCGGAAUUAUUGGGCGUAAAGAGCUCGUAGGCGGUCUGUCACGUCGGCUGUGAAAACCCGAGGCUCAACCUCGGGCCUGCAGUCGAUACGGGCAAACUAGAGUACUGCAGGGGAGACUGGAAUUCCUGGUGUAGCGGUGAAAUGCGCAGAUAUCAGGAGGAACACCGGUGGCGAAGGCGGGUCUCUGGGCAGUAACUGACGCUGAGGAGCGAAAGCGUGGGGAGCGAACAGGAUUAGAUACCCUAGUAGUCC
rnacentral:rRNA from 1 species